rnacentral:misc_RNA from 1 species
AUCUUUUUGUUGAGUUAUAUGAAAGGGCCUGCAAAGUGCAAAGUUUUCUGUUAAUCUCGUCUUGUAAUUUCAACAUACUCUGUAGCCUGGUAUUUUAGUUUAGAAUAUGGUAGAAGGAGCUGUCCUCACCUCCUUUCAACAUAUACUGCUUCAAUUUGAAAGGAGGUGAGGACAGCUCCUUCUACCAUAUUCUAAACUAA